CAGUGAAAGCCCUUGAAUUAGCCAAAAGAAACCAGUGUGUGACUUCAAGUCGCAAAGGUCAGGUGCCCCAGUAAGAGCAUGGGCAGCUUGGAGCCGUCCUUGGGCAGGUCUCACCACAGAGCCCUGGGAGGAGGUCCUGGUGUAAGAUGUCUGGCAGGGAAGUGUGAGCCCCCAGAGGUUCCUGGGCUGCAGGAGGUGUUGGAAGGCAAUUGCCGAACAGAGGAAAGGCUAUCAGACGCAGCCACCCGAAGCAGACUGCUGACUCUCCAUCCCUUUCCACCUGCACUCUCCCACCUCCACCUGCGUGUUUGCACUGAAUAUUGUGCGUUUGAUCAUGCAGCUGUGCAGUGAAUGCAGUCAGCCCAUGGAUCCUGCUGAAGUCCACUGCUAUCCUACAGAAUUUAUUUUUGGCAGGAUCUGUAAGCUGAUCCAGUUUGCCAUGCGAGUGCACCAGCUGAUACAAGGCUGGUGAUGGAAAGGUAUGGCUGGGGUUACAUUUAAUUAAAAAAAAAAUAUAUAGAUAUCUCUUAUUGUACAGAUCCUUUCUGCGUCUUUAUUGGAUUUCUCAACCCGUCUUACAAAUGGAUCAGGGCUAUAGGGUUUUUUUGGAAGGGAAAAUGUCAAAGCCCAGGGGACCUGGCCUGAGCCGGAGGGUUGUUAAAGAAACAAAGGAAGGAUGGAGUGGGUAGAUCAUUACCAAAUGGUCCAGCUACACGGGCCCUGCUUCCCUAAUGAGCCUGACAGCAUGCAGUGCCACCUCCCUCUUCAUAUGUAAAGCUAAUCCCUUGCCCUCUCUGACAGCCGGUAUUUACAUUUGCAAAUGAAUCCGUCUUCCCACAUCGCCUGAGCAGGGGCAGGGAGAGAGCAGAGGGAGAUGGGGCGUGCAGAAUCCAGGGACCUAACAGCAUGGCCCAGGCAGGGUGUAUGACAUCCCGAGAGGUGCGGGGAGAAGCACCUGGGUGACAGGAAUCCCAACGGGGCUGGCUCUGAUGGUACUGAUCCUAAGCAGACAAGUUAGCUAAAGC
rnacentral:lncRNA from 1 species